rnacentral:misc_RNA from 1 species
AAGAGCGUGGUGCGGGAAAUCCGCACGCCACGUUCUGUGGGAGCGUGCAGCGAAGCUAGCUGCCAUUGCAGC